GACGGAGGAUGCAAGCGUUAUCCGGAAUUAUUGGGCGUAAAGCGUACGCAGGUGGCUCGACAAGUCUUUUGUUAAAGCGCGAGGCUUAACCUCGUAAAGGCAGAGGAAACUGUUGAGCUAGAGUAUGGUAGGGGCAGGAGGAAUUCCCGGUGUAGCGGUGAAAUGCGUAGAUAUCGGGAAGAACACCAGCGGCGAAAGCGUCCUGCCAAGCCAAAACUGACACUCAUGUACGAAAGCUAGGGGAGCGAAUGGG
rnacentral:rRNA from 1 species